UUCAUCCUGAGCAGAGAAGUCCAAGAA
rnacentral:snRNA from 1 species